rnacentral:lncRNA from 1 species
GAGGAGAAGAAGAGAAAGAGAAGAAGGAGGAGGAAGAGGAAGGAGGAGGAGGAGAAAGGAAAGAAUUCUAGGGAGAUUUGUUCUACCACUGUUGGUCUUGCCUGCCCACUCCAGAGGACAGUAGACUGGACAAAGAUCCAAAAGCCCCUCCUCUCCGUUGGUCUUCUGCCCCAGCAGGGAGGUUCUGAGAGGUCUCUGCCUUUGACCCCUUGGACCUUGGAUCUACAUAAGUAGGGACAGAGAUUGCCUGUCGUCUGCCUAUACCCUUCUGCCCCUCCCAGUGGCUGCCCAAACUUCCAGGAUAUCAGGGGAGCUACAGUACCUAUAUCCUAGUGACAGUAAACACAUUGCCUGCCCAGCAUAGGCAUUUACAGAUGUAGUCCAGGCUGUCCCAACUUCAAAUGCUUUGUUUGUUUGUUUGUUUGUUUUGGGAUUUAUUUAUUUAUUUAAGUCUCUCUACGUAGCCCUGGCUGGCCUGGAACUUACAAUGUCCAUUAUAGAAUCAGUUGGUUAAUUCCCCUUCUCUUCUACGCAUGCUUUCUGACUAGGGAUAAUGGUGCAUCUCUCAGGAGGUGGAAGCAAGAGAACGAGGAACUCGAGGUUAUUUUCAGCUGCAAAGUGAGUUAGAGAGCAGUCUGGGCAACAUAACUCCUGGGUCAAGAAAGAAAAGUGGGGCCAGGCAAUGGUGGCACACGCCUUUAAUCCCAGUGCUCUGGAGGCAGAGGCAGGCAGAUCUCUGAGUUCAAGGCCACCCUGGUCUACAGAGGGAGUUCCAGAACAGUCAGGACUACACAGAGAAACCCCGUCUUGAAGAAAAAAAAAAAAAAAAAAAAAAAAAAGGAAAAAGAAAAAAAAGAAAGAAGGAAGGAAAGAUGGGUUGGACUGGAUAGCAUUUUGACCUUUUCUUCAGGUUCUCAUUAGGCUGUUCCACUUCUUUUUGACAGGACCUCAGGAAAGUCAGAUGUAGGCAGUUAUCUGGAUCGCUGCCGGCCCCUG